rnacentral:tRNA from 1 species
GUCUUUGUGGUGUAUUGGGUAGCACACUCGCCACAUAUUCGAAAGGCCCGUGGUUCGAGUCCUGGCUAAGGCA